CUCAUCGACAAAUCCCUCUUCCAUUUUUUUUCCUUAAUCAUCUCACAACACAAACCGCUCUCUGUCUUAUUCUCCUAACCUCAAUGUCUCACUCUCCUAAUCUCUCUCUCACAGACGACACAUCUCACAAACAGAAGAAUUAGGUUCCUAAGUUCUAGCUAUUUUCAUGUUUCUGGUCAAGAUUAUCAUUUCAAUUAUGGUUUUUCACAAGAGGCGCUAAAGCAACGGUGGAGAAGCGGCAGACUCGUCUCUGGCCAAGAUCUGCGUCGGCUUCACCGCCUCACCACCAACACAUGGAAGGAGAAGCAGUGGUGUGACAUAGCCAGCGUCUCCGGUCAAGCGUGGUGGUACAAGCCGGUGGUGGUCGUGCGGUGGAGAUGCGAGAGCAAUGUCGCGGUGUGGUGAGUGCGGCGGCGACUGAAGAAGUAAAUUAGGUUUAGUUAGGGUUAAUUAGGUUUAGUUAGGGUUAAUUAGUAAACCAAUUUGUAAUUGUAAACCAUUUUGUAAGUGUAUACCAAUUUGUAAUGGUAAACCAUGUAAACCAAAAUUCAAUUUAUAAAAGUACCAAAUUUUUC